AACAAAGAGAGAAAUAUUGAUUUAUGACUACUUACUUGCCUUCGGCACUGCCCAACUUUAGCUACUUCACUAUGCACACUUCAAUGUGGAAUAGAAUAGGGAGAAAAAAACACUAGAGAUACAUGAGAGUGAAACUUGGUACUAUGCUGAAUUUCGACUGAUCUUCAGAGGCAAAUGCAGCAGGAAGCUUUUCCAAGUUGAG
rnacentral:misc_RNA from 1 species